AUGUUUGUCAUGUGGUCACCACACCCCAGAGCAGCUGGUGGGUCCCAUCCAUGGGCGUUGCUGGAAACCCAGGGCUCUGGUGGGAUCCAUGUAGAGAUGCAGGCAGUACCUGCUGCUGUGGGCUGGGACUGCAAUACCCACUGCCCCUCUCAAAUUAUACUGGCUUACCAGUUUCCAUACUUUAAUAUACAGGCAAGCCAUUGUGGCAUUUUUACUUGUAGAUCGAUAGGCUGUGCAGGCAAAGACUAUCUCUGUGUCCAGACAUGUAUUUAAGCAAGUUGUCUGGCUGGCGUGGUUUCUUUGCAUUUCAAAAAGAAGUAUUUCUGUGUAUCUAUUGUAUAAUGAGGUAAUGUGAUUUAGCCAGCGUGCUCAUUUCUUGUUUCCUUUGGUACGCUGCGUGUUGUUCAGUGAGCUAUUCUUGUUUUUAUUUAUCUAUAUUUUCCUCUAAGCACAGUAUGAGUCCUAUUCUUGGUGUAUCAUUUUGCAAAAUGUAAUUGAACGGCCUCACUAGCAUCACGGGAUUUAUUUAUUUUGUUAUACUUUGUGAAAUGUCACACAGUAUAUUGUUCCAGAAUAAUAAUUUCUUCCUCUAUGGACACCAACUAUUAGUCUGCUAUUUCAGUUAUUAUUGUUUUCCCCGAGUUUUAGCAGAAAUACAUAGAAAACAUGAAAUCUGAGUUUAAAAAUGAUGCUGAAGAAUUAUUCCAAACUUAUUAACUCCACUGAACUACUUAACUCAACAGUAAUCGGCCUUUUGAAAUAUAGAUACUACAACGUAUUCCACUGAGCGAUCUGAGCACUUUAAGCCAUGCAAAGACAAGGAUCUUGCAUACUGUCUCAAUGAGGGGGAAUGCUUUGUGAUUGAAACCUUAACAGGAUCACAUAAACACUGCCGCAAUUGCCCUUCUGGUGUUUUCUGCUGGUGACCUGUCUGAAUAGAUGUUCUUCCAGAGGUGGUUGUGGUUUGGGGCAUUGAUGCUGGGAAGAGGAUUACAGGAAGAGCUCAGCUGUUCCUUCAUUGCUCAGUCCACGUUUAUAAAGAAGGAUGGACAGUGACCUGUGAGCAAGCUUUGUUGCAAAGAAAGCAUUAUCUGUUGUAACUUUUGCAAUAAAAAUAUUUCUUGUAUUACUCUAUUUCUUAGGUGGUUUUGUUGACGUGAUUGUUCUUAUCAGUCUCUUAUGUUUCUGCAGUAAGUUCAUUUGCUGGCUGCUUUCAAGAUGUGUGUUCCUUGCUGGCAAGUGGUAUUUCCACCUGUUAUGUGCUUGAUAAUGUUAGGUAAAGAAAAUAGUGAUGAAAAUGAGAAAAGUUGUUUCAUGUUUUUGUAAAAUAUUUUUCACAAUGCAAUUUUCUAGUUCAUAAAAUGUGAAGUGCAGGCAGAUGGAAUAGGAUCUUUGUGCCUCUGAAACUUGUGCUUGAUAGGAUUUUAAGGAGGCAUGUUUCUAUGUUCCUUCAUUCUUCUGCCCAAAACAAAUAUUAUAUGUUAUAAAAGUAAAUCAGCAGCAACAGAAUUGUUCUGAAUUUUGAUUUUCUGUCUAUUUUGCUUUGUUUCUGUAAAAACUAACUUUUUAUUUUUGCAGUGGUUUGUAAAGACCGUGGUGUUGGUUUUUUUUGUUGUUGUUGUUUGUUUGUUUGUUUUUUCUCUGUAAAAACUGGAAGAGAAGUCUGUAGGGAAGAGGGGACAAUUCGUUGGCAACAUUAUAUUGUCUUGCUUGUCCCCAUCAAUUCUUCACCUCAACGUCCUCUCUAGUUAGUCUGUAAAACAUGGGCCAAGACUAUACUCCCAGAGAGAAAAGAGAUAAUGUCUAAUAAACGAGAUAAAAGAUCUGUAU
rnacentral:lncRNA from 7 species